rnacentral:rRNA from 1 species
UACGGAGGGUGCAAGCGUUGCUCGGAAUUAUUGGGCGUAAAGGGUAGGUAGGUGGUCUCAUUUGUCUGGGGUGAAAGCCUUGAGCUUAACUCAAGAAGUGCCCCAGAAACGGUGAGACUAGAAUCUUGGAGAGGGUCGUGGAAUUCCCGGUGUAGCGGUGAAAUGCGUAGAGAUGUGGAGGAACACCGAUGGCGAAGGCAGCCCCCUGGGCCGACACUGACGCUCAUGCACGAAAGCGUGGGGAGCAAACAGG